CCUACGGGAGGCAGCAGUCGGGAAUUUUGGGCAAUGGGCGAAAGCCUGACCCAGCAACGCCGCGUGAAGGAUGAAAUCCCUCGGGAUGUAAACUUCGCAAGAACGGGAAGAAUAAGUAGGGGACAACACCCCCUAUGAUGACGGUACCGUUUGUGAGCUCCGGCUAACUCCGUGCCAGCAGCCGCGGUAAUACGGGGGGAGCAAGCGUUGUUCGGAUUUACUGGGCGUAAAGGGCGCGUAGGCGGCCUCCGCAAGUCAGUUGUGAAAUCUCCGAGCUUAACUCGGAAAGGUCAACUGAUACUGCGGGGCUAGAGUGCGGAAGGGGCAACUGGAAUUCUUGGUGUAGCGGUGAAAUGCGUAGAUAUCAAGAGGAACACCUGCGGCGAAGGCGGGUUGCUGGGCCGACACUGACGCUGAGGCGCGAAAGCUAGGGGAGCGAACGGGAUUAGAUACCCCGGUAGUCCUAGCCUUAAACGAUGAAUGCUUGGUGUCUGGGGUUAUAUAGUCCCCGGGUGCCGUCGCUAACGCUUUAAGCAUUCCGCCUGGGGAGUACGGUCGCAAGACUGAAACUCAAAGGAAUUGACGG
rnacentral:rRNA from 1 species